AGUGUAGCUUAGUGGGUAGAGUGCUAGCCUAGCAUGCAGGAGGCCCUGGGUUCUAGUCUCAGCACU
rnacentral:tRNA from 1 species